rnacentral:rRNA from 1 species
GAGGAGUCCGCGGCCGAUUAGCUAGUUGGCAGGGUAAGAGCCUACCAAGGCAGAGAUCGGUAGCCGGCCUGAGAGGGCACACGGCCACACUGGCACUGAAACACGGGCCAGACUCCUACGGGAGGCAGCAGUGGGGAAUCUUGCACAAUGGGGGAAACCCUGAUGCAGCGACGCCGCGUGAGCGAUGAAGCCCUUCGGGGUGUAAAGCUCUUUCGGCAGGGAAGAUGAUGACGGUACCUGCAGAAGCAGCUGCGGCUAACUACGUGCCAGCAGCCGCGGUAAUACGUAGGCAGCGAGCGUUGUUCGGAGUUACUGGGCGUAAAGGGUGUGUAGGCGGUUGUUUAAGUUUGGUGUGAAAUCUCCCGGCUCAACUGGGAGGGUGCGCCGAAUACUGAAUGACUUGGAGUGCGGGAGAGGAGAGUGGAAUUCCUGGUGUAGCGGUGAAAUGCGUAGAUAUCAGGAGGAACACCGGUGGUGUAGACGGCUCUCUGGACCGUAACUGACGCUGAGACACGAAAGCGUGGGUAGCAAACAGGAUUAGAUACCCUGGUAGUCCACGCCCUAAACGAUGCAUAUUUGGUGU